GGCCAGUCUGGGAAGCCCGUCAGUCAACCAGCCAUCCAGAUCUCCUGUUAGAAAAUAGGGUGUGGUUUGUGAAGAUGGAGGGAGAGCAUCCUCAUGAGGAGAAGCAGACUGAAACUGCUUGCUGUGCAUCCCAAUGUCCCAAAGAUGGAGAGGAGAGGCAGGGACAAGGGGCUAUGUUAUGGUCCAUCCAGGAGGCAGUGGAGAGGCAGACCAUGCAGAUAGGAACGUCCGCCUGUGGGGCAACGGCCGUAGUGGACGUCCUACAGGCCCUCGGCAUC
rnacentral:lncRNA from 1 species